rnacentral:rRNA from 1 species
GCUUGUCUCAAAGAUUAAGCCAUGCAUGUCUAAGUAUAAGCAAUUUGUACUGUGAAACUGCGAAUGGCUCAUUAAAUCAGUUAUAGUUUAUUUGAUCUUACCUUACUACUUGGAUAACCGUGGUAAUUCUAGAGCUAAUACAUGCUGGCGUGCCCGACUUUUGCGGAAGGGCGGUAUUUAUUAGAUAACAAGCCAAUAUUCCUCCGGGUCUAUUGUGGUGAUUCAUAAUAACUGAUCGAAUCGCAAGGCCUUUGGCCGCGAUAAGUCAUUCAAGUUUCUGCCCCAUCAGCUUUCGAUGGUAGUGUAUUGGACUACCAUGGCGUUCACGGGUAACGGAGAAUUAGGGUUCGAUUCCGGAGAGGGAGCCUGAGAAACGGCUACCACAUCUAAGGAAGGCAGCAGG